UACGAGGGGGGCAAGCGUUGUUCGGAAUUAUUGGGCGUAAAGGGUGCGUAGGCGGUUUGGUAAGUCUUGUGUGAAAUCUCUGGGCUCAACUCAGAGACUGCACGAGAAACUGCCGGGCUUGAGUGUGGGAGAGGUGAGUGGAAUUUCCGGUGUAGCGGUGAAAUGCGUAGAUAUCGGAAGGAACACCUGUGGCGAAAGCGGCUCACUGGACCACAACUGACGCUGAUGCACGAAAGCUAGGGGAGCAAACAGG
rnacentral:rRNA from 2 species